rnacentral:rRNA from 1 species
CCUUCUCCUUUUUAUUGUCUCUUUCGCUAUUGGGACUGUUUGUGCUAAAUACCUGUGAUUCCCCAUCACCCUGUGUGUGGUGUCCUUUUAUUCUUUCCUUGAUUCUCUACCGCGGAUUUGACGUCAUCUCGGGUGAGAAUCCCGUUUGGCGAGGAUACCUUUUCUUUGUAAGACUUUUUCGAAGAGUCGAGUUGUUUGGGAAUGCAGCUCAAAGUGGGUGGUAAAUUCCAUCUAAAGCUAAAUAUUGGCGAGAGACCGAUAGCGAACAAGUACAGUGAUGGAAAGAUGAAAAGAACUUUGAAAAGAGAGUGAAAAAGUACGUGAAAUUGUUGAAAGGGAAGGGCAUUUGAUCAGACAUGGUGUUUUUUGCAUGCACUCGCCUCUCGUGGGCUUGGGCCUCUCAAAAAUUUCACUGGGCCAACAUCAAUUUUGGCAGCAGGAUAAAUCAUUAAGAAUGUAGCUACUUCGGUAGUGUUAUAGCUUUUUGGAAUACUGUUAGCCGGGAUUGAGGACUGCGCUUCGGCAAGGAUGUUGGCAUAAUGGUUAAAUGCCGCCCGUCUUGAACCACGGGACCA